GGAGAGAUGGCCGAGUGGACGAAGGCGCUCGCCUGCUAAGCGAGCGUAGGGUAAAACCUACCGUGGGUUCGAAUCCCACUCUCUCCGCCA
rnacentral:tRNA from 1 species